rnacentral:rRNA from 1 species
GACGAACGCUGGCGGCGUGCUUAACACAUGCAAGUCGAACGGAAAGGCCCUGCUUUUGUGGGGUGCUCGAGUGGCGAACGGGUGAGUAACACGUGAGUAACCUGCCCUUGACUUUGGGAUAACUUCAGGAAACUGGGGCUAAUACCGGAUAGGAGCUCCUGCUGCAUGGUGGGGGUUGGAAAGUUUCGGCGGUUGGGGAUGGACUCGCGGCUUAUCAGCUUGUUGGUGGGGUAGUGGCUUACCAAGGCUUUGACGGGUAGCCGGCCUGAGAGGGUGACCGGCCACAUUGGGACUGAGAUACGGCCCAGACGCCUACGGGAGGCAGCAGUGGGGAAUAUUGCACAAUGGGCGGAAGCCUGAUGCAGCAACGCCGCGUGCGGGAUGACGGCCUUCGGGUUGUAAACCGCUUUCGCCUGUGACGAAGCGUGAGUGACGGUAAUGGGUAAAGAAGCACCGGCUAACUACGU